UGAGUAACACGUGGGUGAUCUGCCCUGCACUCUGGGAUAAGCCUGGGAAACUGGGUCUAAUACCGGAUANACCCUUCUGGUCGCAUGGCCUGGGAGGGGAAAGCUUUUGCGGUGUGGGAUGGGCCCGCGGCCUAUCAGCUUGUUGGUGGGGUGAUGGCCUACCAAGGCGACGACGGGUAGCCGGCCUGAGAGGGUGACCGGCCACACUGGGACUGAGAUACGGCCCAGACUCCUACGGGAGGCAGCAGUGGGGAAUAUUGCACAAUGGGCGCAAGCCUGAUGCAGCGACGCCGCGUGGGGGAUGACGGCCUUCGGGUUGUAAACCCCUUUCAGCACAGACGAAGCGUAAGUGACGGUAUGUGCAGAAGAAGGACCGGCCAACUACGUGCCAGCAGCCGCGGUAAUACGUAGGGUCCGAGCGUUGUCCGGAAUUACUGGGCGUAAAGAGCUCGUAGGUGGUUUGUCGCGUCGUCCGUGAAAACUCACAGCUUAACUGUGGGCGUGCGGGCGAUACGGGCAGACUGGAGUACUGCAGGGGAGACUGGAAUUCCUGGUGUAGCGGUGGAAUGCGCAGAUAUCAGGAGGAACACCGGUGGCGAAGGCGGGUCUCUGGGCAGUAACUGACGCUGAGGAGCGAAAGCGUGGGGAGCGAACAGGAUUAGAUACCCUGGUAGUCCACGCCGUAAACGGUGGGUACUAGGUGUGGGUUCUUUCCUAAGGAUCCGUGCCGUAGCUAACGCAUUAAGUACCCCGCCUGGGGGAGUACGGGCCGCAAGGCUAAAACUCAAAAGGAAUUGACGGGGGGCCCGCACAA
rnacentral:rRNA from 1 species